rnacentral:rRNA from 1 species
CACGUAGGGCGCAAGCGUUGUCCGGAAUUAUUGGGCGUAAAGAGCUCGUAGGCGGUCUGCUACGUCCGCUGUGAAAACCUAGGGCUUAACCCUGGGCUUGCAGUAGAUACGGGCAGACUAGAGGUAGGUAGGGGAGAAUGGAAUUCCCGGUGUAGCGGUGAAAUGCGCAGAUAUCGGGAGGAACACCGGUGGCGAAGGCGGUUCUCUGGGCCUGUACUGACGCUGAGGAGCGAAAGCGUGGGGAGCGAACAGG